rnacentral:rRNA from 1 species
UUGGAGGGCAAGUCUGGUGCCAGCAGCCGCGGUGAUUCCAGCUCCAAUAGCGUAUAUUAAAGUUGCUGCAGUUAAAAAGCUCGUAGUUGAAUUUCGGGACCAUCAUGUCGGUCGUGCCUCGGUACGUACUGGUAUUGUUGGUUUCUCCCUUCUGACGAACCAUGAUGUCAUUUAUUUGGUGUUGUGGGGAAUCAGGACUGUUACUUUGAAAAAAUUAGAGUGUUUAAAGCAAGCUAACGCUUGAAUACAUUAGCAUGGAAUAAUGAAAUAGGACGUUCGAUCCUAUUUUGUUGGUUUCUAGGAUUGACGUAAUGAUUAAUAGGGAUAGUUGGGGGCAUUAGUAUUCAAUUGUCAGAGGUGAAAUUCUUGGAUUUAUUGAAGACUAACUACUGCGAAAGCAUUUGCCAAGGAUGUUUUCAUUAAUCAAGAACGAAAGUUAGGGGAUCGAAGACGAUCAGAUACCGUCGUAGUCUUAACCAUAAACUAUGCCGACUAGGGAUCGGAUGAUGUUAAUUUUUUAAUGACUCAUUCGGCGCCUUACGGGAAAC